AAGAGCCACUCAGUCAUUGAGGCGAUCUGUGAUCGAGUUCCUCUUGUGUCUCCAGAGAAUAGUAGCGUGAGAACGAGGGUUUUUCAAUAUGGCGUCCAGGAUCGCACUCCUGUGCCUUCUUGGCUUGCUGGUAGCAUCACCUGCUAUUGCUGACUCCGGCAUCUACUACCAGCUUGAAUUGAUGGUAUGGACAUGGAGCUAUAUAUAUAUAUAUUUCUUCAUAUACUAUGCACCAUUUUAUACUGUUAUUAGGUCUACAGUCUACUCCAUCCGUUCCAAAUUAUAAAUCAUUUUGAUCUUUUUAGAUUCAUAUAUAAUAAUAUCUAUUAACCUAGAAAAACUAAAACGACCUUUAAUUUGGAAUGGAUGGAAUACUAUAUAAAGUAAUUAAGAUCAGCGCAACAUCUAUAUAUCUAUACAGGAAAUGCACGAUAAAUUCUUCCUAAAACUUGUGCCCUGCUAACUAAUAAGAAGUGGAAAUUACCUUCAUGGAUAUGGACUAGAUCGUGCUAAAAUAUGUAACAAGUGAAAUGAACGAGAACAACUCAGGAGAUGUGCAAUGAUAAGGGUACUGAACACGUACGUCACGGACCACCGGCACGUUUUGUCCGAUCCGGACGCUAUGAUUAGACUGGUGAGGCAAGUUAUCGCACUGCCCCAUUGUCUUCACGGCCAAUGGGCAUAUUUGGCUUCACCUGCUAAAGUUUAGCGCCUGUCAUAUCAGAUGUUUGAUACUAAUCAGGAGUAUUAAAUUUAGGUUAAUGACAAAACUAAUUGCAUAGAUGGAGUCUAAUUCGCGAGACGAAUCUAUUAAGCCUAAUUAGUCCAUGAUUUGACAAUGUGGUGCUACGGUAACCAUUUGCUAAUGAUGGAUUAAUUAGCCUUAAUAGAUUCGUCUCGCGAAUUAGCCUAGGGGUUCUGCAAUUAGUUUUAUAAUUAGCUCAUAUUUAGUCUUUCUAAUUAGCAUCCGAAUAUCCGAUGUAACACGGCUAAAGUUUAGCACCUGGUAUCCAAACACCCUCAACAUAAUGGAUGAUGUAAGACAGAAGAGAACGAUCGCUUUUGUCUUGUAGGAACUUGCAUUGGUUACUCUCGAUCGUUCAUGGGCUAAACGAUCGCGCACUCUCUGCUAACAUGAUGACUAGAUGAGCGCAGUGGCCAGUGAUUUUCCUGUUCAACUCUUGUAAUGCAUGCAUGGUGUUCAUGGACGCAGUGGCCAGGGGCGUACUGCGAGCAGAGCAGCGCCGGAUGCUGCAAGCCGACGACCAGCGCCAAGCCGGCGCGCGACUUCUUCAUCUCGGGCUUCACCGUCUACAACGCAACGACCGACGCUCCGGUGAACCGCUGCAGCAACAAAGCUCCUUUCGACCCUAACGAGGUAUACAACCUACAAUUUGAAACGGAUGGAAUAUAUAAGACUCUCGCUUGAGCUCGCCAAACAUACAUACCAUGGAGUACAUAUAUCUGUAUCUCGUAAUUCACGUUUGUGACAAUGUCUUUGACUCUUUGUGCUAUGCUACGCGUACAAUACAUUGGCAGAUUACGGACAUCCCAGGCCUGAAGCAGUACUGGAGCAACAUCAAGUGCCCCAGCAACAACGGCCAGGGCGGCUGGAAGAACGCCUGGAAGAUGUCCGGCGCCUGCUCCGGCCUCAAGGAGAAGGACUUCUUCGAGAAAGCCCUCGAGUUCCGCAGCCGGCUCAACCCUCUCGUUCGCCUCCAGAAAAACGGUACGUGAACAUAUAUAGAACUGAGUUUCAUGCACGAGUGUUCGAAAUCGGAUGACCACCAAAUGACACAUGCGUACUGUUUUUGAUGGCUUAUUAUGAUUAAUUUGCAGGUAUCCAGCCGGACUUCGAGCUGUACAGCUUGAAGAAGAUCAAGAAGGUGUUCCAGUCGGGCAUCAACGCGACGCCGCUGGUCCAGUGCAGCAUGGGCCCCUUCAACAAGUACAUGCUGUACAAGCUCUACUUCUGCGCGACGGAGCAGGGCACGUUCAUCGACUGCCCCGUGGCGCCCAAGUACACCUGCUCGGCGGAGAUCCUCUUCCACCCUUUCAAGAGGUGGAUGCUCCAGCAGCUCCAGGGGGAGGACGCCGAGUUUGCCGCCGCGGCCGACGGCGACGACCAGGACGCCUUCGUGCUGCCCGGCGUGGCCAUGGAUAUAUAACCGAUGGAUCGAUCGGAAGCAUAUGCGUGUCGUCGAGGAGAGACCCCACCUGAUCUCCGAUCCAUCCAGAUCGUCUUUCAAUUCGUGAGUUUGCGUUUCGGUGGCGUACGCGUGCAUGGAAUAAUGUCGUUGUUCCUGCUCCCCCGAGCAAACAACAACGCAGUGUAGUAAUAUGUGAAAAUAAUUAAACACUGAGACGUACGAAGACAAUAAUGGUACGGUGAUCUCCUCCUCUUCUACGACGAGUUCCUUCUAUUCCUACUCAUCAGGGAAGAUGUGGCCGUGUUUAUCUAGCUCUUCUGCUUUGCGCCGCCUCACCAAGCUCACUGCCCGCAGCGUCGCCGCAUGGCCACAUCCCACAUCUUAAAUUCGGUGGUUCAAUAACAUAAAUAUGGUCCCCUGGUCCCGCAAAAUUACGUUGACUGCCGCUUAAAUUCUACGUUGAUUUGCAUCAAUAUUCUUCAUGCUGUGUUAUAUAUUAUAAAAGAGAUCCUUCCUAAUCAAGUGACAAUUUGCUGU
rnacentral:lncRNA from 1 species